CCUACGGGGGGCAGCAGUGAGGAAUAUUGGUCAAUGGGCUAAGGCCUGAACCAGCCAAGUCGCGUGAGGGAAGACGGUCCUAUGGAUUGUAAACCUCUUUUGUCGGGGAGCAACGAGGCCACGUGUGGCCGAAGUGAGAGUACCCGAAGAAAAAGCAUCGGCUAACUCCGUGCCAGCAGCCGCGGUAAUACGGAGGAUGCGAGCGUUAUCCGGAUUUACUGGGUGUAAAGGGAGCGCAGGCGGCACGGCAAGCCUGAUGUGAAAGCCCGCGGCCCAACCGCGGGACUGCAUUGGGAACUACCGGGCUGGAGUGCCGGAGAGGUAGGCGGAAUUCCUAGUGUAGCGGUGAAAUGCGUAGAUAUUAGGAGGAACACCAGUGGCGAAGGCGGCCUACUGGACGGUGACUGACGCUGAGGCUCGAAAGCGUGGGGAGCAAACAGGAUUAGAUACCCCAGUAGUC
rnacentral:rRNA from 1 species